UACGGGAGGCAGCAGUGAGGAAUAUUGGUCAAUGGGCGAGAGCCUGAACCAGCCAAGUAGCGUGCAGGAAGACGGCCCUAUGGGUUGUAAACUGCUUUUAUACAGGGAUAAAGUCGGGGACGCGUUCCCCGUUUGCAGGUACUGUAUGAAUAAGGACCGGCUAAUUCCGUGCCAGCAGCCGCGGUAAU
rnacentral:rRNA from 1 species